rnacentral:tRNA from 1 species
GGUUGUGGCUCAGUGGUAGAGCACUUGCCUAGCAUGUGUGAGGCAUUGGGUUCUAUUCUCAGCACCA